rnacentral:lncRNA from 10 species
GAUUCUUGGCUCCAAGCCUGGUCCUGGCUGUUAGUUUGGAACUCAUGCACCCAGAUGCUAACUCGCCCUCAGAAUGCAGAGGGGAUGAAACACUGACCGGACAAUUCAAUCUGUAUAUGGGUGAGUCCAGGGCUCAGUCUGCAUUGCGCGGAAAAUGAAGGUGAAGGUGGAGGUGGGACCUGAUGGUCUCGUCCCGGAUAGGGUUGAAGAAGUGGGAGAAAAGGAAUCAAAAUCGUGGAUGGGAUAAGAUUGUGCGCGAAUGCUCUCUGGGAGCGGAUCGUGGCCGACGAGGGCCCGAAGAUGCUGCCUUGUGAUCGCAGGAGAUAAACUGGAGGGGAAGACGAAUGGCAGGAGGGUGAAGAGGAAACUGAAUUACUGUGCAAACACCCGCCACUCAAAUCCGGGUGGUUACUGCAGAGUGAAUAACGAUAGGUACUAUUUCGUGUAAGGCAAAGUCCUUUGAAAGGGCUCCUAGAGCGUCAAGGCCUCCACCUGAUGAAUGAAUGAGUCAGGCAGGCCCAGCUCCACUUCACGGAUGGGAAAACUGAGGUACGAGGCCUCGCUGAAAGAUGCGAGGCAGAGCGGAGAACCAGAAGCACCACUUCUCUCAGGCUGAUGCUCUAAUCUCGGCUCCCCCCGCCCCUAC